rnacentral:rRNA from 1 species
AGAGUUUGAUCCUGGCUCAGGACGAGCGCUGGCGGCGUGCUUUACACAUGCAAGUCGAGCGAUGAGAUCCCUUCGGGGAUGGAUUAGCGGCGAACGGGCGAGGAACACGUGAGGAAUCUGCCUUCAACACUGGGAUAACUCCGGGAAACCGGGGCUAAUACCGGAUACGAGGCCCGCAGGCAUCUGUGGGUCUGGAAAGUUUUUCGGUUGAAGAUGACCUCGCGGCCUAUCAGCUUGUUGGUGAGGUAAUGGCUCACCAAGGCGACGACGGGUAGCCGGCCUGAGAGGGCGACCGGCCACACUGGGACUGAGACACGGCCCAGACUCCUACGGGAGGCAGCAGUGGAGAAUAUUGGGCAAUGGAGGAAACUCUGACCCAGCGACGCCGCGUGCGGGAUGAAGGCCUUCGGGUUGUAAACCGCUUUCAGCAGGAAAGAAGCGAAAGUGACGGUACCUGCAGAAGAAGCACCGGCUAACUAUGUGCCAGCAGCCGCGGUAAUACAUAGGGUGCAAGCGUUGUCCGGAAUUAUUGGGCGUAAAGAGCUCGUAGGUGGUUCGUCACGUCGGAUGUGAAAAUCUGGGGCUUAACCCCAGACCUGCAUUCGAUACGGUCGGACUGGAGUGUGGUAGGGGAGACUGGAAUUCCUGGUGUAGCGGUGGAAUGCGCAGAUAUCAGGAGGAACACCAAUGGCGAAGGCAGGUCUCUGGGCCACUACUGACACUGANGAGCGAAAGCGUGGGGAGCGAACAGGAUUAGAUACCCUGGUAGUCCACGCCGUAAACGAUGGGCACUAGUUGUGGAAACCUUCCACGGUUUCUGCGACGCAGCUAACGCAUUAAGUGCCCCGCCUGGGGAGUACNAUCGCAAGANUNAAACUCANNGGAUUGACGGGGCCCCGCACAAGCAGCGNAGCAUGCNGCUUAAUUCGACGCAACGCGAA